rnacentral:rRNA from 1 species
AUUGAACGCUGGCGGCAGGCCUAAUACAUGCAAGUCGAACGAUUCGAGGACGGGUGAGUAAUGUCUGGGAAACUGCUCGAUGGAGGGGGAUAACUACUGGAAACGGUAGCUAAUACCGCAUACCAUCGGAUGUGCCCAGAUGGGAUUAGCUUUUAGGUGGGGUAAUGGCUCACAUGGGCGACGAUCCCUAGCUGGUCUGAGAGGAUGACCGGCCACACUGGAACUGUGACACGGUCCAGACUCGUACGGUAGGCAGCAGUGGGGAAUAUUGGACAAUGGGCGAAAGCCUGAUGCAGCAAUGCCGCGUGUAUGAAGAAGUCCUUCGGGUUGUAAAGUACUUUCAGCGAGGAGGCGUUACUCGCAGAAGAAGCACCGGCUAACUACGUGCCAGCAGCCGCGGUAAUUC